GAUGAAGAACGUAGCGAAAUGAGAUAAGUAAUGUGAAUUGCAGAAUUCAGUGAAUCAUCGAAUCUUUGAACGCACAUUGCGCCCGCCAGUAUUCUGGCGGGCAUGCCUGUUCGAGCGUCAUUACAACCCUCAGGCCCCCGGGCCUGGCGUUGGGGAUCGGCGGAGCCCCCCGUGGGCACACGCCGUCCCCCAAAUGCAGUGGCGGUCCCGCCGCAGCUUCCAUCGCGUAGUAGCUAACACCUCGCGACUGGAGAGCGGCGCGGCCACGCCGUAAAACACCCAACUCUUCUGAAGUUGACCUCGAAUCAGGAAGGAAUACCCGCUGAACUUAAGCAUAUCAAUAAGCGGAGGA
rnacentral:misc_RNA from 1 species